rnacentral:rRNA from 1 species
UACAGAGGGUGCGAGCGUUAAUCGGAAUUACUGGGCGUAAAGCGUGCGCAGGCGGUUCGUUGUGUCGGCGGUGAAAGCCCCGGGCUCAACCUGGGAACUGCAUUCGAGACUGCAUAGCUAGAGUAUGGGAGAGGGAAGUGGAAUUUCAGGUGUAGCGGUGAAAUGCGUAGAUAUCUGAAGGAACAUCAGUGGCGAAAGCGACUUCCUGGACCAAUACUGACGCUCAUGUGCGAAAGCGUGGGGAGCAAACAGG